UACAGAGGGGGCAAGCGUUGUUCGGAAUUACUGGGCGUAAAGCGUGCGUAGGUGGUUUGUUAAGUCUGAUGUGAAAGCCCUGGGCUCAACCUGGGAAUUGCAUUGGAUACUGGCAGGCUAGAGUGCGGUAGAGGAUGGCGGAAUUCCCGGUGUAGCAGUGAAAUGCGUAGAGAUCGGGGGGAACAUCUGUGGCGAAGGCGGCCAUCUGGACCAGCACUGACACUGAGGCACGAAAGCGUGGGGAGCAAACAGG
rnacentral:rRNA from 1 species